rnacentral:lncRNA from 1 species
AGAGUUCUUUCAAGAAGAUGGGCUCGAAGGGAGUUUUGAGAUAGACUUAACCAAAGCUCAGAGUAUGGAAGUAGACAAUGAAAGUGGUGCUGAUGAGGACGUCGGAGACGAGGUUCAGAAUGUGAAGGACUUAGAAUUACUUUAGCGAUUACAUUUUAGCAAUAACGAUGAUUAUGACAUUCCUCCUUUGGAGCAUGGGGAUGAUUAUAUCAACACACGUGAUAGUGAUGAUGAGACUUAUGAUCUAGCU